UACAGAGGGGGCAAGCGUUGUUCGGAAUUACUGGGCGUAAAGGGCGCGUAGGCGGCCUGUUAAGUCGAACGUGAAAUCCCCGGGCUCAACCCGGGAACUGCGUCCGAUACUGGCAGGCUUGAAUCCGGGAGAGGGAUGCGGAAUUCCAGGUGUAGCGGUGAAAUGCGUAGAUAUCUGGAGGAACACCGGUGGCGAAGGCGGCAUCCUGGACCGGCAUUGACGCUGAGGCGCGAAAGCCUGGGGAGCAAACAGG
rnacentral:rRNA from 1 species